GUGCUUGCCCGGGGAUUAUGGCGAACGGGUGAGUAACACGUGAGUAACCUGCCCUUGACUCUGGGAUAAGCCUGGGAAACUGGGUCUAAUACCGGAUAUGACUCCUCAUCGCAUGGUGGGGGGUGGAAAGCUUUUUGUGGUUUUGGAUGGACUCCCGGCCUAUCAUCUUGUUGGUGGGGUAAUGGCCUACCAAGGCGACGACGGGUAGCCGGCCUGAGAGGGUGACCGGCCACACUGGGACUGAGACACGGCCCAGACUCCUACGGGAGGCAGCAUUGGGGAAUAUUGCACAAUGGGCGAAAGCCUGAUGCAGCGACGCCGCGUGAGGGAUGACGGCCUUCGGGUUGUAAACCUCUUUCAGUAGGGAAGAAGCCCUCUUUGGGGGUGACGGUACUUGCAGAAGAAGCGCCGGCUAACUACGUGCCAGCAGCCGCGGUAAUACGUAGGGCGCAAGCGUUAUCCGGAAUUAUUGGGCGUAAAGAGCUCGUACGCGGUUUGUCGCGUCUGCUGUGAAAGACCGGGGCUCAACUCCGGUUCUGCAGUGGGUACGGGCAGACUAGAGUGCAGUAGGGGAGACUGGAAUUCCUGGUGUAGCGGUGAAAUGCGCAGAUAUCAGGAGGAACACCGAUGGCGAAGGCAGGUCUCUGGGCUGUAACUGACGCUGAGGAGCGAAAGCAUGGGGAGCGAACAGGA
rnacentral:rRNA from 1 species